CAAGCGUCAGUAUCAAUCCAGGUGGCCGCCUUCGCCACUGGAUGAUUCCUUCACUAUAUCUACGCAUUUCACCGCUACACAUGGAAAUUCCACCACCCUCUACUAUACUCUAGCUUGACAGUUUGAAAUGCAGUUCCCAGGUUGAGCCCAGGGCUUUCACAUCUAACUUAACAAACCACCUACGCGCGCUUUACGCCCAGUAAUUCCGAUUAACGCUUGCACCCUCCGU
rnacentral:rRNA from 1 species